rnacentral:rRNA from 1 species
AUGAUGCAUAGCCGAGUUGAGAGACUGAUUGGCCACAUUGGGACUGAGACACGGCCCAAACUCCUACGGGAGGCUGCAGUAGGGAAUCUUCCACAAUGGGCGAAAGCCUGAUGGAGCAACGCCGCGUGUGUGAUGAAGGCUUUCGGGUCGUAAAGCACUGUUGUAUGGGAAGAAAAGUUAAGGUAGGGAAUGACCUUAGCCUGACGGUACCAUACCAGAAAGGGACGGCUAAAUACGUGCCAGCAGCCGCGGUAAUACGUAUGUCCCGAGCGUUAUCCGGAUUUAUUGGGCGUAAAGCGAGCGCAGACGGUUGGUUAAGUCUGAUGUGAAAGCCCGGAGCUCAACUCCGGAAAGGCAUUGGAAACUGGUUAACUUGAGUGCAGUAGAGGUAAGUGGAACUCCAUGUGUAGCGGUGGAAUGCGUAGAUAUAUGGAAGAACACCAGCGGCGAAGGCGGCUUACUGGACUGUAACUGACGUUGAGGCUCGAAAGUGUGGGUAGCAAACAGGAUUAGAUACCCUGGUAGUCCACACCGUAAACGAUGAACACUAGGUGUUAGGAGGUUUCCGCCUCUUAGUGCCGAAGCUAACGCAUUAAGUGUUCCGCCUGGGGAGUACGACCGCAAGGUUGAAACUCAAAGGAAUUGACGGGGACCCGCACAAGCGGUGGAGCAUGUGGUUUAAUUCGAAGCAACGCGAAGAACCUUACCAGGUCUUGACAUCCUUUGAAGCUUUUAGAAAUAGAAGUGUUCUCUUCGGAGACAAAGUGACAGGUGGUGCAUGGUCGUCGUCAGCUCGUGUCGUGAGAUGUUGGGUUAAGUCCCGCAACGAGCGCAACCCUUAUUGUUAGUUGCCAGCAUUCAGAUGGGCACUCUAGCGAGACUGCCGGUGACAAACCGGAGGAAGGCGGGGACGACGUCAGAUCAUCAUGCCCCUUAUGACCUGGGCUACACACGUGCUACAAUGGCGUAUACAACGAGUUGCCAACCUGCGAAGGUGAGCUAAUCUCUUAAAGUACGUCUCAGUUCGGACUGCAGUCUGCAACUCGACUGCACGAAGUCGGAAUCGCUAGUAAUCGCGGAUCAGCACGCCGCGGUGAAUACGUUCCCGGGUCUUGUACACACCGCCCGUCACACCAUGGAAGUUUGUAAUGCCCAAAGCCGGUGGCCUAACCGUAAGGAGGGAACCGUCUAAGGCAGA